ACCUCAUCACGCCUGGCUAAUUUUUUUUGUAUUUUUUGUAGAGACAGUGCUUCGCCGUGUUGCCCAGGCUGGUCUCAACCUCCUGAACUCAAGUGAUCCUCCCACACCUGCCUCUCAAAGUGUUGGGAUAUAGACAUGAGCCACCUUGCCCAGCUGACAGUUGACAUAUGAAGAGCUGGUAAAGGAAGCAUAGGACCUGGAGAAUCUCUUUCUGAUCUGAUUUGAGAAUUAUUUUUAUAUUAGGUGGGGUAAAAGCUGAGCUGUCAUAACACAGACUCAACAGUACAGAAGUUUAAAAGAUGAAGAAGUUUCUUUUGUACAACCAUCCAAAAUAAAUGUUCCAGGUGCAGCCUAUUCUGUUCCACAGUUAUUUAAGGACACAGGUUCCUUUCAAGUCAUUGCUCUGUCCUCCCCUGCCCCCUGUUCUCUGGGGGAAUUGUCAUCUGCAUGGCUGAAGCUGAUUAUAGAGGCAUGUCUAAGUUUCCACUUGUGAGAAGGGGAAAAAGCAUGGACGAGACAUGCCCACUCCCUGAAGGCCUGGGUUCCUCAUUGCUUGGUCAUGAUCCACUGGACUGAACACCCUACCUAACUGCAAGAGUCGCUGGAAAAUGUAGUCUAGACUGUGCUCAGGAAGAAGUGGAAAAUGAAUUUCAGUGAACUAAUGGCACUCUCCACUGUACUCUCCUUUCCUUUUCUCACUUUUUUUUUUUUCCCAGAAAGAGUUUCACUCUUGUUGCCCAGGCUGGAGUGCAGUGGCACGCUCUCGGCUCACUGCAACCUCUGCCUCCCGGGUUCAAGCGAUUCUCCUGCCUCAGCCUCCUGAGUAGCUGGAACUACAGGUGCCCGCCACCACACCCAGCUAAUUUUUGUAUUUUUAGUAGAGACGGGGUUUCUCCAUGUUGGCCAGGAUGGUCUCCAUCUCUUGACCUUGUGAUCUGCCCGCCUUGGCCUCCCAAAGUGUCGAGAUUACUGGUAUGAGCCACCACCCCUGGCCGAUAAUCUGUUUUAACCAGGUCCCCAGAUGGUUCUCAUGUACUGUAAUUAUCUGCUCAGGGUAUCAUAACAAAAUACCAUAGACUGGGUGACUCGGACAGCAGAAAUUUAUGUUCUCACACUUCUGUAGGCUGGAAGUUCAAGAUCAGGGUGCUAGCGUGGUCAGGGGUGGAGGAGGGCCCUCUUCCUGGCUUGCAGCAGGUCACCUUCUGACCAUGUCCUCACAUGGCAGAGAGAGAGAGAAAGAUUUCUCUCUCUUUUCCUCUCCUUAGAAGGCCAUAGUCCUGUUGGAUUAGGUCCCCACUCUUCAUUUGACCUUAAUUAUUUCCUAAAGACCUUGUCUCCAGAUGUCCCCUUGGAGAAUAGGGCUUACACAUAUUAAUUUGGGACUGGGAUAUAAUUCAGUCCUUAGCUUGUACAUUGCUUUUGAGCAGCGCUGAGUUAAUAUUAGUAAUUCUCAAACUUCAGCAUGCAUGAAAAUCACCUGGAGGAAUUGAAACCCAGAGUCUUGGGGCUUCAUGGAUUCUUAUUCGGUUGUUCUGAAUCUGAUUCAAUAGUUUCACCUGAGGGUUUUCAUUUCUAAGAAGCUUCUCGAUGCUGAUAUUGCCAUUCCAUGGGCCAUACUUUGAGUAGCACCAAAUUAGACAAUAAAUUUGGGUAACCAAUUUUCAAAAAAGUAAAAUAUCAUAAGGUAGUCUAAACUUAGUCUUUUAAAAAUUCAGUUGUUCUGAAGAUGUUUCAUAUUUAUAAUUUUAUUUUAUUUUAUUUUUGAGAUGGAGUCUCACUCUGUCACCCAGGCUGGAGUGCAGUGGCACCAUCUCUGCUCACUGCAAGCUCAGCCUCCCAGGUUCACGCCAUUCUCCUGCCUCAGCCUCCCAAGUAGCUGGGACUACAGGUGCCCGCCACCACGCCCGGCCAAUUUUUUGUAUUUUUAGUAGAGACGGGGUUUCACCAUGUUAGCCAGGAUGGUCUCGAUCUCCUGACCUCUUGAUCUGCCCUUCUCAGCCUCCCAAAGUGCUGGGAUUACAGGCGUGAGCAUUUAUACAAUUUUUAAAUAUCAUUUAUUUUUAAAUUAUAUGCAAUCGUGCUGCAUAAUGACAUUUUGUUCAUAGAUAGACAUGCUAGGGUG
rnacentral:lncRNA from 1 species